UACGUAGGGUGCGAGCGUUGUCCGGAAUUAUUGGGCGUAAAGAGCUCGUAGGCGGUUUGUCGCGUCGACUGUGAAAACCUACAGCUUAACUGUGGGCUUGCAGUCGAUACGGGCAGACUUGAGUUCGGUAGGGGGGACUGGAAUUCCUGGUGUAGCGGUGAAAUGCGCAGAUAUCAGGAGGAACACCGGUGGCGAAGGCGGGUCUCUGGGCUGAUACUGACGCUGAGGAGCGAAAGCGUGGGGAGCGAACAGG
rnacentral:rRNA from 1 species